GAGUUUGAUUCUGGCUCAGGAUGAACGCUAGCGGCAGGCCUAACACAUGCAAGUCGUACGGUAACAGGGAGAAGCUUGCUUUUCCGCUGACGAGUGGCGCACGGGUGCGCAACGCGUAUAGAACCUACCCUGUACAGGGGAUAUUUUCUGAAGUAUAACGUGGAUUAAUACCCCGUGGAGACAUUAAAUGGCAUCAUUUGAUGUUUAAAGUUUCGGCGGUACGGGAUGGCUAUGCGUCCCAUUAGUUAGUAGGUGAGGUAACGGCUCACCUAGGCAAUGAUGGGUAGGGGCCCUGAGAGGGGGAUCCCCCACACUGGUACUGAGACACGGACCAGACUCCUACGGGAGGCAGCAGUGAGGAAUAUUGGACAAUGGGCGGAAGCCUGAUCCAGCCAUGCCGCGUGCAGGAAGACAGCCCUACGGGUUGUAAACUGCUUUUAUACGGGAAGAAUAAGGGGUACGUGUACCCCGAUGACGGUACCGUACGAAUAAGGACCGGCUAACUCCGUGCCAGCAGCCGCGGUAAUACGGAGGGUCCAAGCGUUAUCCGGAAUCAUUGUGUUUAAAGGGUCCGCAGGCGGGCAAUUAAGUCAGGGGUGAAAUGGUGCGGCUCAACCGUAGCACUGCCCUUGAUACUGGUUGUCUUGAGUUAUGGUGAAGUGGCCGGAAUAUGUAGUGUAGCGGUGAAAUGCAUAGAUAUUACAUAGAACACCGAUCGCGAAAGGCAGGUCACUAACCAUCAACUGACGCUGAUGGGACGAAAGGCGUGGGGGAGCGAACCGGGAUUAAGAAUACCCCCGGGUUAGUUCCCACCGCCCG
rnacentral:rRNA from 1 species